AAUAGAUACCCAGGUAGUCCACGCCGUAAACGAUGAGUGCUAAGUGUUAGAGGGUUUCCGCCCUUUAGUGCUGCAGCUAACGCAUUAAGCACUCCGCCUGGGGAGUACGGCCGCAAGGCUGAAACUCAAAGGAAUUGACGGGGGCCCGCACAAGCGGUGGAGCAUGUGGCUUAAUUCGAAGCAACGCGAAGAACCUUACCAGGUCUUGACAUCCUCUGCCAACCCUAGAGAUAGGGCGUUCCCCUUCGGGGGACAGAGUGACAGGUGGUGCAUGGUUGUCGUCAGCUCGUGUCGUGAGAUGUUGGGUUAAGUCCCGCAACGAGCGCAACCCUUGAUCUUAGUUGCCAGCAUUCAGUUGGGCACUCUAAGGUGACUGCCGGUGACAAACCGGAGGAAGGUGGGGAUGACGUCAAAUCAUCAUGCCCCUUAUGACCUGGGCUACACACGUGCUACAAUGGAUGGUACAAAGAGCUGCGAACCCGCGAGGGUAAGCGAAUCUCAUAAAGCCAUUCUCAGUUCGGAUUGGUA
rnacentral:rRNA from 1 species